GGACAUAUUAUGCAAAACCCACUUUUUCCUUGCUUUACUAUGUAUAAUUGCAUAUCCGGAGUGCCUCCCGACCCCUUAAGAGUGAUUUAGGACCUCUACGUCAAUGUUUUGUAAACAGGCGGAGUCAGGAAAUGUGUCUCUAAGAGAGCCAUUUGGAUUUCACCCGCACACUUACGUAAGAGUGCGGGUGAUUUGAAUGCUCCAGCCCUCUCGCUGGAUAUCUCCUCCCAUAUUACUCCGGCUACCUGAAGGAGGAUCCGCCAUUUUCUCGCUUCACUUGUAUGCCACAGUCUGACCGCAACCAUGUGCAACCUGAAAGCCAAGCACUCCUGCUCUGUCGUCGGAUGCACGGACACUCAUGUUUCCCUACAUUGCCUUCCUACCAAAGAGGAUAUCAGAGCGAAGUGGCUAAAUUUUAUUUUUCAGGGAAACGUCCCAGCUUCACUGAGCAAAAGCGUUGUUGUCUGUGCCAAUCACUUCACACCGGACUGUUUCAGCAACCAGGGUCAGUAUCAGGCUGGACUGGCAACGAGAUUGUUCCUCAAAGAUGGAUCAAUACCCACUGUCCGUGUCAACGCCACAGAAGAAGAAACUAAGUAUUUUUAAAAACAGUGUUGUUUGUGUUACUUUGGCUGUUUAGCACAUGAGCUAACGCUAACGGGUCAUGUAAAUAUGAGGCUGAGCUAACAUUACAACAGUGGACUUACUGGUCUUAGGAUUCACGGUAAUGUAAAUGUUGCCUAACCUUAAUUUGUCAUAUCAGCACUCAUGACAGUGAACUGAGAAAUUGAAUUGGGAUAUUGAGAUUUGAUCGCUUCUAACCGGCCGGUGAUCCACUAAGAUGUUGUCCGCGGACGACGAGCUAGCUAGCGCUGCUCGGCCGGCGCAGCCGAACAGCGCUAGCUAGCUCAUCGUCCGCGAACUGAGAAAUUGAAUUGGGAUAUUGAGAUUUGAUCGCUUCUAACCGGCCGGUGAUCCACUAAGAUGUUGUCCGCGGACGACUUCAUAGUUACUACAGCUACUGUUCCGACAUGAACACGCAUGGGAAACCGUCUCCUCCACAUGCUCACAGCCGAUCAGACGGUGUGAAAUUGUCUCAGUUGUUCGCGGACGGAGAGCUAAUGUUCCGCCGUGAACACGCAGAGAGGACGGUAUGAAAUGCUCUGUUAUUCACGGCCAGUGAGCUACGUUACGUCAAUUAGCAUGUUGUGCUAAAGGCUAAAGGACAGUGUGUGAGAUGCCCAGGAGCACCUUGGCAGUCGAACGACUUAUUUUGUGUUGAUAUACACGUAUAUACUACAUGUGUAGUGUUAGCUGCUGGUACGAGAGACCCGAUCUGACAGUACCAAAACUUUAUCUGCAGUCAAGAAAUCAUUACUUUGCUUUGGAGCCUGAGACAGGGGUUACCUGUCUGCUGUGCUACGAUUAACGUUAGUUAUAUGAAGGCAUGGACACAAUAUGUAUUGCUCACUUACUAAAUCUAAUGUGAAAUGAGGAAUUUGCAUGGGUUUGCUCGGAUUAUAAUUUGCCAGAAUUUGCCUUAUCAAAUGGAUUGUUUUAAUCAUCAUUCUAUAAUCACAUCUGUACAGCAGUCUGUAGUGCAUCAUGUUGCCUGCCAGACAGACCAACCAGUGAAAUGCACGGUUGGCACACAGCUUUCCAUGAGAACUCUCCGGUCUCACUUCAGAAGCACAGACUCUACCUGACUGCCCUGCAUUACAAUGAAAAUACUGACUGACCACAGGCAACAUCUACAGGUGGAGAGCUGCUGUACAGUCAACUUCCCCAAAUCUAAGCAUGGAGAAUGAACUGCAAAGCCUGUGAAUGCAGAGCCAACAUUCCACUACGUUGAUGCACUGUUGGACCUGAUCUUCAAGAAGGUUUUCCAGGAUCCUGGCCCAUAUGUGAACGAGGUGCUGAAACUUACAAUCCCUGAAGACCUCUCGGCUCAGUAUGAAAGACCCAACAAGCUGGACGUUAUAGCCAGUUACGUGCCAAGGUUCAAUCAAGGACAGGACUGAAUCUAACAUACUGUCCUUCAGCGUCGGGGAACUCUGCAUGAAUCCUCAGCACCACACAGGCAGGCAGCACAGCUCUCACUCUUCGCCCCAGAAAGCACCAGCACCAGCUUACAAAGCUUUUGUAGGCUAGGUAUCUAUAUUUGCUGGACACAAUUCAGUAGAAAAUCAGCACUGAAUGUUCACAUCCAUGGCAACUGGCAAGUUUAACUGUUCCACUUUAGAUAUUUAUUUUGUAUGUCUACAAUUGUUUCUUGCAAUAAAACAUCUCUCCCAACUGU